CACUAUUUAAAGGACAAGCAAGUGGUAUGAGGUGCCUUCUGAAACAUUAUACUAACCAGAGCUGGUGCAACAGCUCAGAGAUGUCUUGGUCUCCACCCUGCAAGGGAGGACUCCAAUCCGUUGUGUGAACGAGGCUCUGCUGUGUGAGUCAGCUGCUGAAGAUGACUACAGUGCUGGCUGUGCCUGGGGAUGCUGGCAUCUAACAGUGAGGACCUGCCAAGCUGUAGAGGAAAAACUAAGAAACUGAGCCCAACUCUGCAAGAACCAGAGAUAAGCUUCUGAAAAGAUGAAAAGGAGCAUGGACAGGGCUCCCACUGUGAAGACAGUCUCUGCUUUAGGAGCGUCUUGUGACAGGAGCAGGUUUGUACUCCACAGGGAUACCACAGAAAGGUGAUCUAUCAGAAGUGCUUCUCUUGGCCCUGAAGGCUUUCCAAAGGAGUGUCCGUCUGCUCUGUCUUGAAGACUGACUUCACAGGAUGAGGGAAGAAGGAGCUGCAGGUGUUAGAGGGCAGAUUGCCCAGCCUUAAGAGGAGAUUUCCAGUAUGGAAAUGUUGGGAAUGGCCUGACUGUGCUGGUUGCUAAAUGAAGGGGAAUAUAUAGAUAGGCAGGCACAGUCACACAGAUGUUCUUAAGGAAACCUUUACAUACCCCCUUCUUUCUUCUAAAAACGCAUUUCCACUCUUCACUUUUCAAUUAUGGAAAAGUUCUCAUUUCUAUGACCUCAAUAAAGAAUUAUAUUCUGAGACCAAAAUGCUGACUCCUCUGUGGUGGUCAGGGGUAGCUGAAUCUCAUGCAUCAUCCUGGGGAUGGCCUGUUUUUCCUCUGUGCUCUUUCUAAAGGCAGGGUAUACCAUUAAGAGGCAUGUCUGCAGACAUAAGGGCAAUAAUCUGACUGGAGCCAGUCAGUCCAUGACCUUAAGUGCACCCUU